rnacentral:rRNA from 1 species
UAGUCCUAGCUGUAAACGAUGGGCACUAGGCUGCGGGCGUUUCGAUGACGUUCGUUUCCGCAGCAAAUGCGUUAAGUGCCCCGCCUGGGGAGUACGGUCGCAAGGCUAAAACUCAAAGGAAUUGACGGGGGCUCACACAAGCGGUGGAGCAUGUUGCUUAAUUCGAAGCAACGCGAAGAACCUUACCCGGGUUCGAAGUGCAUGGAUUAGCUCUGUGAAAGCAGAGUGACGCUCUUGUAGUGGAACUUGCAUAGGUGUUGCAUGGCUGUCGUCAGCUCGUGUCGUGAGAUGUCGGGUUAAGUCCCUGAACGAGCGAAACUCUUGUCUUUAGUUGCCAGCAUGUAAUGAUGGGGACUCUAAAGAGACUGCCUCCGUAAGGAGUGAGGAAGGUGGGGAUGACGUCAAAUCAUCAUGGCCUUUAUGCCUAGGGCUACACACGUGCUACAAUGGUAAAUACAGAGGGCAGCGAACCUGCGAGGGGGAGCCGAAUCCCAGU